AUACUUACCUGGCAGGGGAGACACCACGAUCACGAAGGUGGUUUUCCCAAGGUGAGGCUCAGCUAUUGCACUGCGGCUGUGCCGACCCCUGCGAUUUCCCCAAAUGCGGGAAACUCGACUGCAUAAUUUGUGGCAGGUGGCGGGGGGGACCACGUUCAUGCUCUGC